rnacentral:rRNA from 1 species
GACGUAGGGGGCCCGAGCGUUGCUCGGAAUAACUGGGCGUAAAGGGUUCGUAGGCGGUGUGGCAAGUCGGGAGUGAAAUCCUGAGGCUUAACUUCAGGACUGCUACCGAAACUGCCAUGCUCGAGUGCGGGAGAGGCGAGUGGAAUUGCAGGUGUAGCGGUGAAAUGCGUAGAUAUCUGCAGGAACACCAGUGGCGAAGGCGGCUCGCUGGACCGCAACUGACGCUGAGG